rnacentral:rRNA from 1 species
GACGAACCGAGCGAACGUUGUUCGGAAUUACUGGGCGUAAAGGGCUUGUAGGUGGCCAACUAAGUCCGACGUGAAAUCCCUAGGCUUAACCUAGGAACUGCGUCGGAUACUGGAUGGCUUGAAUCCGGGAGAGGGAUGCGGAAUUCCAGGUGUAGCGGUGAAAUGCGUAGAUAUCUGGAGGAACACCGGUGGCGAAGGCGGCAUCCUGGACCGAUAUUGACACUGAAAAGCGAAAGCCAGGGGAGCAAACGGG